CCUACGGGAGGCAGCAGUGAGGAAUAUUGGUCAAUGGACGAGAGUCUGAACCAGCCAAGUAGCGUGAAGGAUGACUGCCCUAUGGGUUGUAAACUUCUUUUAUAAAGGAAUAAAACGAGGCACGUGUGCCUUUUUGCAUGUACUUUAUGAAUAAGGAUCGGCUAACUCCGUGCCAGCAGCCGCGGUAAUACGGAGGAUCCGAGCGUUAUCCGGAUUUAUUGGGUUUAAAGGGAGCGUAGAUGGGUUGUUAAGUCAGUUGUGAAAGUUUGCGGCUCAACCGUAAAAUUGCAAUUGAUACUGGGAGUCUUGAGUACAGUUGAGGUAGGCGGAAUGCGUGGUGUAGCGGUGAAAUGCUUAGAUAUCACGAAGAACCCCGAUUGCGAAGGCAGCUUACUAAACUGUGACUGACGUUGAUGCUCGAAAGUGUGGGUAUCAAACAGGAUUAGAUACCCUUGUAGUC
rnacentral:rRNA from 1 species